AGUCGAGCGGAAGGCCCUUCGGGGUACUCGAGCGGCGAACGGGUGAGUAACACGUGAGUAAUCUGCCCCAGGCUCUGGGAUAGCCACCGGAAACGGUGAUUAAUACCGGAUACGACAACCGAUUGCAUGAUCUGGUUGUGGAAAGUUUUUCGGCCUGGGAUGUGCUCGCGGCCUAUCAGCUUGUUGGUGAGGUAAUGGCUCACCAAGGCUUCGACGGGUAGCCGGCCUGAGAGGGUGACCGGCCACACUGGGACUGAGACACGGCCCAGACUCCUACGGGAGGCAGCAGUGGGGAAUAUUGGACAAUGGGCGGAAGCCUGAUCCAGCAACGCCGCGUGAGGGAUGACGGCCUUCGGGUUGUAAACCUCUUUCAGCACAGACGAAGCGCAAGUGACGGUAUGUGCAGAAGAAGGACCGGCCAACUACGUGCCAGCAGCCGCGGUAAUACGUAGGGUCCGAGCGUUGUCCGGAAUUAUUGGGCGUAAAGGGCUCGUAGGCGGUCUGUCGCGUCGGGAGUGAAAACCAGGUGCUUAACACCUGGCCUGCUUUCGAUACGGGCAGACUAGAGGUACUCAGGGGAGAAUGGAAUUCCUGGUGUAGCGGUGAAAUGCGCAGAUAUCAGGAGGAACACCGGUGGCGAAGGCGGUUCUCUGGGAGUAUCCUGACGCUGAGGAGCGAAAGUGUGGGGAGCGAACAGGAUUAGA
rnacentral:rRNA from 1 species